GCCGUGAUCGUAUAGUGGUUAGUACUCUGCGUUGUGGCCGCAUCAACCCCGGUUCGAAUCCGGGUCACGGCA
rfam:Oreochromis niloticus linkage group LG22, whole genome shotgun sequence.